rnacentral:tRNA from 1 species
GUUCUUAUAGUUGAAUAACAACAGUGGUUUUUCGGAUCGCUGGUCUUGGUUAGAGUCCGAGUGGGAAUU